AGCCGAAACGGCCCCGCGCGGGCCGUCCGCCGGGAAUGGCCGCCCGGCGCUGAUGAUGGCAGGCCGCA
rnacentral:hammerhead_ribozyme from 1 species